UAGAGUUUGAUCAUGGCUCAGAGCGAACGCUGGCGGCAGGCUUAACACAUGCAAGUCGAACGGGCGUAGCAAUACGUCAGUGGCAGACGGGUGAGUAACGCGUGGGAACGUGCCUUUCGGUUCGGAACAACCCAGGGAAACUUGGGCUAAUACCGGAUACGCCCUUACGGGGAAAGAUUUAUCGCCGAAAGAUCGGCCCGCGUCUGAUUAGCUUGUUGGUGAGGUAACGGCUCACCAAGGCGACGAUCAGUAGCUGGUCUGAGAGGAUGAUCAGCCACACUGGGACUGAGACACGGCCCAGACUCCUACGGGAGGCAGCAGUGGGGAAUAUUGGACAAUGGGGGAAACCCUGAUCCAGCCAUGCCGCGUGAGUGAUGAAGGCCCUAGGGUUGUAAAGCUCUUUUGUGCGGGAAGAUAAUGACGGUACCGCAAGAAUAAGCCCCGGCUAACUUCGUGCCAGCAGCCGCGGUAAUACGAAGGGGGCUAGCGUUGCUCGGAAUCACUGGGCGUAAAGGGUGCGUAGGCGGAUCUUUAAGUCAGAGGUGAAAGCCUGGAGCUCAACUCCAGAACUGCCUUUGAUACUGGGGAUCUUGAGUUCGGGAGAGGUGAGUGGAACUGCGAGUGUAGAGGUGAAAUUCGUAGAUAUUCGCAGAACACCAGUGGCGAAGCGGCUCACUGGCCCGAUACUGACGCUGAGGCACGAAGCGUGGGGAGCAACAGGAUUAGAUACCCUGGUAGUCCACGCGUAAACGAUGAAUGCAGCCGUUGGCGGGUUUAC
rnacentral:rRNA from 1 species